CAACCUGCCUAUCAGAGGGGAAUAACAGUGAGAAAUCAUUGCUAAUACCGCAUAAGCUAGUAGUAUCGCAUGAUAUAGCUAGAAAAGGAGCAAUCCGCUGAUAGAUGGGCUUGCGUCUGAUUAGCUAGUUGGUGGGGUAACGGCCUACCAAGGCGACGAUCAGUAGCCGGACUGAGAGGUUGAACGGCCACAUUGGGACUGAGAUACGGCCCAGACUCCUACGGAAGGCAGCAG
rnacentral:rRNA from 1 species